rnacentral:rRNA from 1 species
GACGAACGCUGGCGGCGUGCUUAACACAUGCAAGUCGAACGGAAAGGCCCUGCUUUUGUGGGGUGCCCGAGUGGCGAACGGGUGAGUAACACGUGAGUAACCUGCCCUUGACUUUGGGAUAACUUCAGGAAACUGGGGCUAAUACCGGAUAGGAGCUCCUGCUGCAUGGUGGGGGUUGGAAAGUUUCGGCGGUUGGGGAUGGACUCGCGGCUUAUCAGCUUGUUGGUGGGGUAGUGGCUUACCAAGGCUUUGACGGGUAGCCGGCCUGAGAGGGUGACCGGCCACAUUGGGACUGAGAUACGGCCCAGACUCCUACGGGAGGCAGCAGUGGGGAAUAUUGCACAAUGGGCGGAAGCCUGAUGCAGCAACGCCGCGUGCGGGAUGACGGCCUUCGGGUUGUAAACCGCUUUCGCCUGUGACGAAGCGUGAGUGACGGUAAUGGGUAAAGAAGCACCGGCUAACUACGUGCCAGCAGCCGCGGUGAUACGUAGGGUGCGAGCGUUGUCCGGAUUUAUUGGGCGUAAAGGGCUCGUAGGUGGUUGAUCGCGUCGGAAGUGUAAUCUUGGGGCUUAACCCUGAGCGUGCUUUCGAUACGGGUUGACUUGAGGAAGGUAGGGGAGAAUGGAAUUCCUGGUGGAGCGGUGGAAUGCGCAGAUAUCAGGAGGAACACCAGUGGCGAAGGCGGUUCUCUGGGCCUUCCCUGACGCUGAGGAGCGAAAGCGUGGGGAGCGAACAGGCUUAGAUACCCUGGUAGUCCACGCUGUAAACGGUGGGUACUAGGUGUGGGGUCCAUUCCACGGGUUCCGUGCCGUAGCUAACGCUUUAAGUACCCCGCCUGGGGAGUACGGCCGCAAGGCUAAAACUCAAAGGAAUUGACGGGGCCCCGCACAAGCGGCGGAGCAUGCGGAUUAAUUCGAUGCAACGCGUAGAACCUUACCUGGGUUUGACAUGGAUCGGGAGUGCUCAGAGAUGGGUGUGCCUCUUUUGGGGUCGGUUCACAGGUGGUGCAUGGCUGUCGUCAGCUCGUGUCGUGAGAUGUUGGGUUAAGUCCCGCAACGAGCGCAACCCUUGUUCACUGUUGCCAGCACGUUAUGGUGGGGACUCAGUGGAGACCGCCGGGGUCAACUCGGAGGAAGGUGGGGAUGACGUCAAGUCAUCAUGCCCCUUAUGUCCAGGGCUUCACGCAUGCUACAAUGGCUGGUACAGAGAGUGGCGAGCCUGUGAGGGUGAGCGAAUCUCGGAAAGCCGGUCUCAGUUCGGAUUGGGGUCUGCAACUCGACCUCAUGAAGUCGGAGUCGCUAGUAAUCGCAGAUCAGCAACGCUGCGGUGAAUACGUUCCCGGG